CUCUUAAUUUAGCCUGGUAGAAUGUGGGUCUUUAAAACCCAAUUCCGUAGGUUCAAAUCCUACAGAGCGCGAG
rnacentral:tRNA from 1 species